rnacentral:sRNA from 19 species
CAUUUAUAUUAGCAGUCAUGUAAUCACCCGAGCGGGUGGUCGACGCAACAGCUUAAUCGGA